GAUCUAGAUCAAAAUGAAGGUCGAGGCCCACUGGGGAACCAGAGCCCCGCUCCGGAGGAGGGCAGGCUCCUCUCCAGUUGCAAACGCCCCUAGAACCUGUCGCCCAGGCCUGUCCUCCAGGACGUGGCUGGAGUGCAGCAGCCGCGCUCAACUUCUCCCGCUAGCCCCCGGCUAGGACCCAUUUCCAAGGGGGAAUCCCCGGGAUGUCGUGGGGGGGAGGGGGAGCGGACACGGGGCGCGCGCGCCGGACACACACCCGCGCACACACACCUGGCUGGUGGCUGCACGGCGCGGGGUGGGCUGUAGCUCACCCUCUCCCGCAGGCCGCCCCCAACACCGCCACUCAGCCAGCGGUCCUGCCGCGGGGCACCCCUCCAGCCCUCCCCCUACUCCGGUCGCGCACAGCCGGCUCCCUCUAACCAGGCCAGAGAGAAACUCAACCUGGAACAGCUGCAGGACACCUCUGAAUCCUGUCCUCCGCCAGUUGGUGCAACCACCACUAGCCUUACCCCUGGACUGACCACUGGGUGUCCUUCCUCAUCUAAACAAGUGAGAGGUCCCCGUCACUAAGACCCAGUUCCAUUUCUCAGCCUACAUUUUGUCUCUGAGACUCGGAAGGGAAGGGGACAUUUGGGGGUGAGCCACGUGAUGUAACUCAUCCAGGACAGGUGAGAGGAAGAUGAAAGGAGAUGUUCUGCUGCCGGUUGAAACAUCAGUGACUAAGACCUGGGGAAUGGACCAGGAACAUUCUCACCUCUCAGUUGUGGGCUCCUGAAAGGGCACUGCCUCAUCCCAUCCUCCUGUCGUACGGGCUUCCAGCUUCACGUUCUCACGUCCUCAUAAUCCCAUCAGUAUGUUAUAGAAACCCAACUCAAGUCACUUAAGCAAAAGAGGAACUUUUGGCUCACCUUUGUGACUCAGCUCAGAGCAGCUGACAGAACUGCAUAAAGAGCUAUUAAAUAGGAAUCUGAAGCAACCUAGAUGCCCAUCAGCAGAUGAAUGGAUAAGGAAGCUGUGGUACAUAUACACAAUGGAAUAUUACUCAGCCAUGAAAAAGAAUUCAUUUGAACCAGUCCUAAUGAGAUGGAUGAAGCUGGAGCCCAUUAUACAGAGUGAAGUAAGCCAGAAAGAUAAAGAACAUUACAGCAUACUGACACAUGUAUAUGGAAUUUAGAAAGGUGAUAACGAUAACCCUAUAUGCAGAACAGAAAAAGAGACACAGAAAUACAGAACAGACUUUUGAACUUUGUGGGAGAAUGUGAGGGUGGGAUAUUUCAAAAGAACAGCAUGUAUACUAUCUAUGGUGAAACAGAUCACCAGCCCAGGUGGGAUG